rnacentral:lncRNA from 1 species
GUGUGUUUGAAUCGGGCAGUGCUCUGGACAGCUUUGUUCCUCUGCUGUCCCCAGUGGUCCUGGCAGGCGCACAGGAAGACGCGUGUCAAACACUGAGACAAGGGAGCUCUCUCUGCAAAGCCCACACAGAGAGAGAAGAAAGCUAGAAUUAAUGCUGUAAGAAUAAACACCGAAAAGAAACACAGGAGAGGCGGUUAGUUAAAUAACAGAGGGGGGAGAAAAGCCGCUCUGGGGGAACAUUCAAGACAUACCCGAAUUUUUUAAAGCAAAGUUGCAGCAUUGAAAAAAGAUGGAGGCCUUUGGAGAGGUGACAUUUGGCUGGGCACGACGGCCGAGAAUACCAACAAACUAAUGGCGCGAGAUGACAGAAGCACCUGAAUUUGCCCUUUCCUGGAUGCUCAGAUAGAGGAUGAAGCAGGGCCACUGUUGACUAAAUGGGUGUCAAGAAUUGGACAACAGUGUUCUAGUCUCCUCCAAAUUUAUUAAAGGCGCUGUUGCUUCUCCUAUGCAAUCCUCAAAGCAAGACUGAGACAAUAAGACGCUGUUUCCCAAACAGAUUCUGUAAACGCAAUUUGAAUCGGAAUAGUGAUCCAGCCGGCUGGCUUUUGUGUUCGUGAAGGAGAAGAGAUCGAGGCACAGAGAGAGCCGACCCGCUGUUGACUGGUGCCAUUGUUUCGGAGCCCUAUGAAUUCCCCUCCUUCAAAGUACAGACCCCACAGCUCGGUCUACCCUUUGGCAGUUUUCAGGAUGCCCUGCUUUGAUCUCAACCAUAAGUGCUGUGACAACAACCUUGAGAUGUAAAGAAAAAAGCCAGUUGAUGUUUUUAUGACAGACUCAUGAUAGGUCGCUGAACAGCCGAGGUCGACUGUGCGUAUGAUGGGUUUUACGAGGAUGCUUGUAGCGGCCAAAUUCCUCUAGCUGGCUGAGACUGUCAGGCAGCAGCAUAUGGGAGAGUUCUUCCUGGCUGAUCUCCUCCAGCUCAGGAGUCUCUGAUGUCCAUUCUGUCACUGACUCGAAGCUGUCUUCGGUGGGAUUCAGUGUGGUCGCCUCCCGCUCAGACCAGCUCCUUGGGUGAGAACAUGUGGAAGUUAUCAAGCCUGUGGCAUCAUGCAGAAUUUUAAUGUGAAAUAGUCUAAACAAUGGUAGUUUAUUAAUGUAUAUUUUCUUCAAUAUUUAUACUGGCAGUUAAUGAUGCAUCAUACAUCUUUAUCAUAUCAGUUAUCAGGUGAUAUUGGUUAUAUAUUAGUCCAUUUGACAUUUAAUUGGCAAUAGCAUUUCCCCACAUUUUAAACAUGGGCUGUUUAAAACUACAUGAAAAAAUGUAUGUGAAGAAAGAUGAGUGAAUUCACAUUGAUAAGAGAGUAGUAUACAAAGUAUCAGGAUGACUUAUUACUUCCAGUGAGAUUCUAAAAUGUGCA